rnacentral:rRNA from 1 species
AAGUCGAACGAGCGAGAGAGAGCUUGCUUUCUCGAGCGAGUGGCGAACGGGUGAGUAACGCGUGAGGAACCUGCCUCAAAGAGGGGGACAACAGUUGGAAACGACUGCUAAUACCGCAUAAGCCCACGGGUCGGCAUCGGUCAGAGGUCAAAGGAGGAAUCCGCUUUGGGAGGGGUUCGCGUCCCAUUAGGUAGUUGGUGAGGUAACGGCCCACCAAGGCGACGAUCGGUAGCCGGACUGAGAGGUUGAACGGCCACAUUGGGACUGAGACACGGCCCAGACUCC